rnacentral:sRNA from 1 species
CCCUAGCCCUGAUAGUAGUGAAAAUCCCACGCUUUUGAGCGUGGAUUGUAGCGGAUAGCAGGAAAUAGC